UACGUAGGUGGCAAGCGUUGUCCGGAUUUACUGGGCGUAAAGAGCGCGCAGGCGGUCGAUCAAGUCGAGUGUGAAAGCCCCCGGCUCAACUGGGGAGGGUCACGCGAUACUGAUCGACUGGAAGGCAGGAGAGGGUAGUGGAAUUCCCGGUGUAGUGGUGAAAUGCGUAGAUAUCGGGAGGAACACCAGUGGCGAAGGCGACUACCUGGCCUGUUCUUGACGCUGAGGCGCGAAAGCUAGGGGAGCAAACGGG
rnacentral:rRNA from 1 species